rnacentral:rRNA from 1 species
AAUCAACGCUGGCGGCGUGCCUAACACAUGCAAGUCGAGCGAGAGGGAGUAGCAAUACUCUAGUAAAGCGGCGCACGGGUGAGUAACACGUGGGUAAUCUGCCUCGAAGUGGGGAAUAACACCGGGAAACCGGUGCUAAUACCGCAUAAUCUGACGGGAUCUGCGGAUUUUGUCAGCAAAGGAGCAAUUCGCUUUGAGAGGAGCCCACGGCUGAUUAGCUAGUUGGUGAGGUAAUGGCUCACCAAGGCCACGAUCAGUAGCCGGUCUGAGAGGACGGUCGGCCACACGGGAACUGAGACACGGUCCAGACUCCUACGGGAGGCAGCAGUGGGGAAUUGUUCGCAAUGGGGGCAACCCUGACGAAGCAACGCCGCGUGGAUGAUGAAGUCUCUUGGGACGUAAAAUCCUUUCGACGGGGACGAAACCGCAAGGUUGACGGUACCCGUAGAAGAAGCCCCGGCUAACUCCGUGCCAGCCGCCGCUGUAAUAC